rnacentral:rRNA from 1 species
CCUACGGGCGGCAGCAGUGAGGAAUAUUGGUCAAUGGACGCAAGUCUGAACCAGCCAUGCCGCGUGAGUGAAGAAGUAUUUCGGUAUGUAAAGCUCUAUCAGCAGGGAAGAAGAAAGACGGUACCUGACUAAGAAGCCCCGGCUAACUACGUGCCAGCAGCCGCGGUAAUACGUAGGGGGCAAGCGUUAUCCGGAUUUACUGGGUGUAAAGGGAGCGUAGACGGCUGUGCAAGUCUGAAGUGAAAGCCCGUGGCUCAACCGCGGAACUGCUUUGGAAACUGUAUAGCUUGAGUACUGGAGAGGCAGGCGGAAUUCCUAGUGUAGCGGUGAAAUGCGUAGAUAUUAGGAGGAACACCAGUGGCGAAGGCGGCCUGCUGGACAGAAACUGACGUUGAGGCCCGAAAGCGUGGGGAGCAAACAGGAUUAGAUACCCCUGUAGUC